AGUGGGCGGUCUAUGCAAAGUCUUCCAUCCUUUCACCCCUUUAUAAUCAGACGCUCAGCUCUGCCCUUCUCAUCAUAGGCAACGUGGACUGACAUUACAGCAAGCCCUGCACUAACCUGACUGAUCACUGAACAAUGAAACUGAUGACUGUCUGGAGUUUAGUUGUCAUGGUAAUGUCCAUAGACAGUGUUUGUUGUGAUAUCAGACUGGAUCAGUCACCUUCUCAGGU